GGCGCUAUAGCCAAGUGGUUACGGCGACAGAUUCGAAUGAGGAAUUCUCCCUUUACUUAUCUGUUCCUCUUUGAGGGCGCAGGUUCAAAUCCUGCUGGCGUCG